AAAAUUUCCACGUCGGCAAAAGUCAAGAUGGAAGGGAGCGGAGCGGAGCGCGAGGGGGGAGCCGGCCCGGGAAUGCCUGGCGGCCGGCGCUGGAGGGGCAGGCUGGGGAGCCUGCGGCGGGCGCACGAGGGGCCACUCGCGAAGGUGUCCCGGCCCAGCGCGACCACCGCCCCCAACCCCGGGAGCCUCUGGGCGCCCCGCACUCCGCCAGCCGCCCGUGCACCCCGGCCCGGGGGACGCAGCCCACUGCCCCUCCGGCCUUGUCUCUUAGGGGUGGCGGGGGAUGGAACGGUGGCGAGGGGUUUGGGGGAAGAUGGGAAAGCACUUUCCAGACCUGUUGCACGCGCGCAACAGCUGUUCAGGUGCGGUAUGUGGGGGGAGGGGGUCUGCUAGGAUGGGGGACAGAGUGGUCGCUUAUGCUGCAGGGAAAAGGGGGUGCCGGGAGGGGGAGAAGAGCAGUCUUGGGGACUGUGUGCAAGGUUGUGCGCGAACGGGGUCCGCGGGAAGCACUGCCUAAUGGGGCAGGGAGAAUCCCAAAGAGUGGGUGGGUGGAACGGAGGGGAUGGGACGACUUCGACCCGAGUUCCCGGGGCUGGGCGCGGGCGGCUGGAAGACCGGGAAUAGAGUACUGGGAAUGGCUGGGGAAGGGGGUCUCAGGGGAGGCCCCGCAAAGCGGGUCUUUCUUGGGUCGUCCCAUCUUAGGGGCUUUUCCCGGGCCUGUAUUUGUUCCCCACCGUUUAACUCUUUCAGCUCCGAAUAUUCGUCCUCGUGCAGCGCCCCCGCCCCCAGCUUUCCAGAUGGGAAGGUAAAAAGUUGCCACAAGUUAGAGUGAGUUAGCUGCUGGCAAAAGUUUAAAUAACUACCGAGGGAGGUGAGGGUUCGACCAGGAAUGGGUUCUAAUCUGAGGACGGGUAGGAAGGAAGGAGAGUGUGCGAUUCUUGCAGCCCCUUUGCUGUGACAUUGCGACCAGAAUUUGUCGAAUCGGGCUGUUAAAACACCAUUUCUGUUGGGCAUUUGCUCCUGCUGACUGCGGCAGUAACUUUCCAUAAUUAAUGACCCGUUCCAUUAUCGGUCGCAUCCUGAACUAAAUUGCUUUUAACGAGUUAUUCUUCUUUGUCUUAGCUGGGGGGUGGGGGAACACACCUGCAGGAAGAAACUUCUGGAGGAAGACAGCACGUUUGGUCUUUUGAGGCAAAGUUCUGAGACACUCCGACUCUGAGUAUGAUAGAAGUCAGUGCACUACAGAACUUUGUCUCUAGAGGCUGUGGUCGCCGAUGCCGCCAGUGCUCCAGACGCCAGGCCGAGUGGCCCUGGUGGCCACGUCGCUGCGCCUUUCCCUUGGGGGAGGGGCAAGGCCAGAGGGGGUCCAAGUGCAGCACGAGGAACUUGACCAAUUCCCUUGAAGCGGGUGGGUUAAACCCUGUAAAUGGGAACAAAAUCCCCCCAAAUCUCUUCAUCUUACCCUGGUGGACUCCUGACUGUAGAAUUUUUUGGUUUAAAGAAGAAAAAAAUAAAGCUUUGGACUUUUCAAGGUUGCUUAACAGGUACUGAAAGACUGGCCUCACUUAAACUGAGCCAGGAGAGCUGCAGAUUUAUUAAUGGGUGUGUUAGUGUGCAGUGCCUUGCAGGAAUUUAAACUCUCUACCCUUAAAGAAGGAAAUGUAUUUGUACAAAAGCCACAGAUAAUGGUCCUUUUACUCAAGCGACCUGCUGGAUAAAUGACAGCCUGCAGGGAUUGAGUUUGGAGAUCUAGUCUCAAUUCUGCUUCCGAUUUAGAUGCAGUUCACUUUUGUUUUUUAAAGUAAGUUUUAUUAAUGGAAAGGAAGAACUUUUUCCAAGAAAGCAUUUUGAAAGCCACUGGGGGAGGGGGACAUUUAUGCUUUUGGGCUGUGGAGAUCCUUUAGGUGGAGAGACUGCUCUCUCAUCCCUAGUGGAAUGGAGGUUUGGGUUGGUGAGUUUCUAUCAAUAGCCUGCUCUCUAUAGUGGGUCAGUGACUGGCACCAAAUUGUAGUCCUGUUCCAUGGACAUUGCCCUGUUUUGGUUUUAUGAGCUUUUGGCCAGGCACAGGACGCAGGGUGGUAGGGAAAAAAGGAAAUGGUUCCUGUGCCCGUGGUGCUGACAGGUAAGGGAAGGGCCUUCUGAUGUAUUUUAUGGGAUGCUUCAGAAACCUGGGGGUUGCUUGUGUCUCUGGGAAGCCCUUGGUAAAGAAAGCCACCAUUUUUUUUACUUAGGUAUAUUCCAGUGGUUUAUCAUCGGGAGAGGGAUGAUAAUGGAGGAAGGCUCAAUGAGGGAGAAAGUAUUCAGCUGCUUGAUGUUAGAGCUUAAUGGCAGGACCUACCAGUUGCUUUUCACAGAAAUGCUGUGUAUUGAUCCUAAGGCAGCAUGUGUUCUCUUUUGUGUGGCCAUUAUCCAUUCUCCCACUUUUCCAUCAGUGACUGCUUUGCUUUUGUUCCUCAAUCCUUUACCCAAAAAUGGCUGAAUUAUUUCUGUGCAGUUAAAUAAAGUGAUCCAAACUCAAGUACGUCUUGUGUUCAUUUGAGAUGUAAGGUAUGCUUACUUGAGGAAGAGGAUUCUCUUUCCUAGUUCUUAUGUCUGUACAUCUCCACAAGAUAGUCUGAAUAUACUGAAUUUUAAGAAAACUUAAAUCAACUUUGUAAGAGAAUGGGAGGUAAAGAGUGGAGCGGUUGACUGGGAGAGUAGUCAUCCAUACAAAGGAAUUAGGUCAGGAUCUCUCACCUCCAGAGAAAGGCAAGGUUUGGAGUCCCUGACAUGAUUCAGUCUGGUUUGACUUCUAUGCUUAAGUGAUUUGCAUUUCUCCUGUUUGUGACCACAAGUGAGUUAAGGACUAACCAAGCAGGAGGGCUGUGGUUUACUCUGGUGCUAAGGAUGCCAGGAAUAGGAACUGGGAAAAUCGGCAGUCUUGGGGUGCUUACUGUAAACCUGGCAUGGUCUCAUAGACCUCAGUCGUUUAGCAAUCAGUGUAUUUUCACCUCCCGAGCAUCAGGUGUUACUCUAGACGUUACGAAUGCAACAGUGAACAAAAUAGGCCCCGAACCCUGCCCUCUUGGAGGUCUUUCUCAUGCAAGAGGUAGACAAUACAAAUAUAAAAUAAUCAGAAGGGUGAUAAACGUCAGGGAAGGAAGAACAAGGAACGCUGGGGAGGCCGUGGUGUUCAUUUAACCCAGAUCGCUGGGCAAAGGAAACCAUCACUAGCAACCUACUUUGCAUGGCCUUGGCACUCCUGUCUUUAUUUUAGAUACUUUAUGUGAAUGAACCAAACAGGUGCAGCUGAAACUUUAGUCAUGCAUUGCUUAAUGAUGAGGAUAGGUUCUGAGAAACGUGGUGUUAGGCGAUUUCAUUGUUUUUGCAAACAUCACAGAGUGAGUGUUCUUAAACCUGGGUGGUAGAGACUACCACACACUUAAGCUGUAUGCCAUAGCCUAGUGCUCCUGGGCUACAAACCUGUGCAGGAUGGUACUGUACUGAGUGCUGUAGGCAAAUGUAACACAAUGGUAAGGAUUUAUUUAACCGUACAAAAGGUACAGUAAAAAUACAAUAUAAAAUGUAAAAAAUGUUACACCCAUAUGGGACACUUAGCAUGCAUGGAGCUUGUGGGACUAGAAGUUGCUCUGGGUGAGUCAGUGAGUGGUGAGUGAAUGUGAAGGCCUAGGACGUUACACUAUUGUAGACUUUAUAAAUAUUAUAAACUUAGGCUACACUAUAUUUAAAAAAAAUGCUAUGACAUGACAGCUGUGACAUCAUUAGGCUGUAGGAAUUUUUCAGCUUCAUUAUAAUCUUACGCGACUACUGUCAUAUAUUUGGUCCAUUGUUGACUGAAAUAUCCUUAUGCAGUGCGUGACUAUCACUCAACACUGAAAGCCUUUAAUUUUUUAAAGAACAUUUUAAAUUUCAAAUGCAAGGGUUGGGAAAUAUGGGGGGGCGUGCAGAGGAGCUGGGAAGCCAUGGUGCUGGGUCACUGAUUCCCCAUU
rnacentral:lncRNA from 1 species